AUGCCCAUGAGGAUAUCGGAUAUAAGAAACACCAUCUUUUGGGACUGAAUGGCUCAACGCUUUGGUGACAUAGUCUUCAAUUCUGAUGCUU